rnacentral:rRNA from 1 species
UCGGGAAUUUUGGGCAAUGGGGGAAACCCUGACCCAGCAACGCCGCGUGAAGGAUGAAGUAUUUCGGUAUGUAAACUUCGAAAGAAUAGGAAGAAUAAAUGACGGUACUAUUUAUAAGGUCCGGCUAACUACGUGCCAGCAGCCGCGGUAAUACGUAGGGACCAAGCGUUGUUCGGAUUUACUGGGCGUAAAGCGUGCGUAGGCGGUGAGUUAAGUCUGUCGUGAAAGCCCUGGGCUCAACCUGGGAAUGGCGAUGGAUACUGGCUCGCUAGAGUGUGAUAGAGGAUGGCGGAAUUCCCGGUGUAGCGGUGAAAUGCGUAGAGAUCGGGAGGAACAUCUGUGGCGAAGGCGGCCAUCUGGAUCAACACUGACGCUGAGGCACGAAAGCGUGGGGAGCAAACAGGAUUAGAUACCCACGUAGUCCCUGAGCGGGCUGGCAAGGCGCAU